rnacentral:rRNA from 1 species
AUACUUUCCUCCUUUGGUGAAUCUACUGGCCUCUCCACAAACUACACCAAAAGUUCUGUAGUACCCAUCAGAUGUGCCAAUGUGGACCUAGAUGAUGUUCUCCAGUCUUUCCCGGCUUGCCACGCCUCCUUCCCGAUCCGCUAUCUUGGGCUCCCCCUCGCGGUCAAAAUAUUAAAGAGGGUGCAUCUCCAACCUUUGGAAGACAAGGCUGCGGGCAAAUUGGCACCUUGGAGAGGAAGGCACGUUGCUAUUGCGGGUCGUAUGACCUUGGUGAAGGCAGUCCUUACGGCGGUGGCCAUUUAUCACAUCACGCCGCUCGACAUCCGGUGGAGGUUAUAA